rnacentral:misc_RNA from 1 species
CAGUCACAGUCACAGUCGCUCGCCUACUGUUCCGCUGGAUUCUCGCUCGUUUCUUCUCGGCUCGUUCUCGUCCCGUGUGGCUCACUUUUGACCAAACAGAGGAAGGAAAAAAAAAAAUCACACACAAAAACGGGUGUGUUUCUUCCCGAAAAAAAGCUCUUUUGCCAGUGAAUUUUGUGUGAUUUUACGUGGACGACGGGGGAAAUAGUCCUUUUGGAAGGCGAUUUCGAUUAGGAUAGCGUUAAACUUUGAAGGAAAACAGGUGCAUUGCGGUUUCUUGAAGUUCGUUCAAAAAGCCCGCAGUAGGCCAUCGAAUUCGGCCAGGAAGUUAAAUUGCUGAUUGAAGCUGAAAAAACACAAGAGGAAAAAAAAAGUUAAAGGUGAAAAAUCGAAAAUCAAGUGAAUGCGAAAAAAAGAACACUCUGUUGAGGUGGAAAAAGGGCUCUGGUGUGAAAAGCACGCACGCACACACUCACACAAGCAGCACAAGAUCCUGACAGGAGCAGCGCUCGCACACACUCAAAGAUUCUCACACGCAAUAGCAGGCGGGCGAAUUCGGAGUUGCUCUUGGAAAAAGGAUUACUCUCGCGCGCGCGGUGUUUGUCCUUUUUUUUUCCUCAACGCCAACUCUGUGUGUUGCGGGAAAUAUUGGCAAUUGUGGGUUCACAACUGUGUGCGUGUGUAGUUGUAGUAGGCAGAAUGUGUAUGAUUGUGUGAACAGCCCCCCCGCACGAUACAGGCGAAGGAGCAGCAAGGAUUACUCAACGCCUGCUGAGAGUGGUGUGAAUAUGUGCGCGCUUGCUGAGGUUCUGUAAUUUGGUCGGAAAAAGGAAGCAAAAAAAAAAAAAACGUCAAAAGGAUUUAAAUUUCACACACGCGACGACAUUCACGGGCGGUUCGAGCAGCAUCAGCUUGGAGGAGCAGCGCUAGGAAAAUAUUAAAAUAACCGGGCGUUACUGUGGUGCGAAAGGUGACACACUCUCUCCCUUGCGCGCGUGAUCCAAUCUCUGCUCUGAGACGACAAGCUGAGCCAAUGAGCGCCAACGAUGCGUUAGCAUAGUGACUAUGGGAUCAGAGGCAUGGGCAUGUGCGUGGACCCUGGGGCAUUCCGGUGGUGUCAGGCAUUAAGCCGGUCGCAAUCGCUAGCCACAGCCAGCCACGCCAGCAGCAACAGAGCCUCGAACCCGGCCCAAGCCCAACGCGGCACGGCCCCGGCAUCAGCAGCAGUAGGUACAGCGGGAACGUCUUCUUCUUCGUCUUCUGCGUCCUGUGGUGCCGCCGGAAGUCACCAUCAUCAGCAGCCGACAGUGCCCACGGUCAGCAGCAACAGUCAGCAGGCCAACUACCGGCACGUGUCCAGUUUUCACCAUGCCAAGGUGCGCCGUAGUCUAAACGCAACAAUCUUCAUCAAGAAGAAGCAAGCGGUUGCUGCAGCCACUUCGACGGCAGCAACCACCACAACAACCACAACAACAGAUUCUAAAUCCAAGUCGGCGACAACCAACAGCAACAACUAUUAUCUCAACAACAACACUAGUAAUAACGAAACCACUAGCUAUAGCAGGGCCGGCAGUUGCAGGAGGGCCACUAGAGAAUCGAAUAGUCUUAGUAGCAGAAGUGGCAGCAUCGUCAGCAACGCCAGCAGCAGCAGUAGUAGUAGCAUCGAGCGGGCACUAGCGGCGCGGCGGCGAAAUCUCAGUCUUAGCACUAACAAAUUGAACGAACACUACAGCUGCAGUGCGGCGGCGUUGAACUGGCUGAUCUCAUCGUUUGUGCUGCUGCUCUGCAUCACCCUAUGCACUAGCUCAAUUAGUCCUCCUGCUCGGAAGACACUAACUCCCCCCCAGGAUGCCGUGCACAUCACCGCCAUCCUCGGCGAGAGUGUCGUGUUCAACUGCCACGUCGAGUUCCCCGGCGAUCAUCCCGUUCCCUACGUCCUGCAGUGGGAGAAGAAGGUGAGCGAAACGGGUCAGGAAAUUCCGAUCUACAUCUGGUACGAGAGCUACCCGACGCACAGCGGCGAGGGUUACGAGGGGCGCGUAUCGCGAGUGUCGCCGGAUUCGAGCUUCGGCGCGGCCUCGCUCAACCUCACCAACAUCCGCGAGUCGGACCAGGGCUGGUACGAGUGCAAGGUGGUGUUCCUGAACAGGCCGCCGAAGCAGCACAAGAACGGCACCUGGUUCCAUCUGGACGUGCACGCGCCCCCGCGGUUCAGCGUUACGCCGGAGGACAUCAUUUACGUUAAUUUAGGCGAUUCGAUUAUACUAAACUGCCAGGCAGAUGGCACCCCCACGCCCGAGAUCCUGUGGUACAAGGAUGCCAACCCGGUGGAUCCGUCUUCUACUGUUGGCAUCUUUAACGAUGGUACCGAGCUGCGGAUCAGCACGAUCCGCCACGAAGACAUCGGCGACUACACGUGUAUCGCGCGCAAUGGUGAGGGACAAGUCUCCCAUACUGCCCGUGUUAUAAUAGCGGGCGGCGCUGUAAUCAUGGUGCCGCCCACUAAUCAAACGAAACUGGAGGGAGAGAAGGUGCAGUUCACGUGCGAGGCCAAGGCGAUGCCCGGCAACGUGACGGUGCGGUGGUUCCGCGAGGGGUCCCCGGUCCGGGAGGUGGCCGCCCUCGAGACGCGCGUCACGAUCCGCAAGGACGGGUCGCUCAUCAUCAACCCGGUCAGUGCCGACGACUCCGGCAUGUACACCUGUGAGGUAUCGAACGGCAUCGGAGAACCACAAAGUGCUUCGGCUUUUUUAAAUAUAGAGUAUCCUGCCAAAGUGACCUUCACCCCAACAAUACAAUACUUACCGUUUCGUUUAGCUGGUGUUGUACAAUGCUAUAUAAAAGCAAAUCCUCCUCUACAAUAUGUAACAUGGACCAAAGAUAAAAGAUUACUGGAACCUUAUCAAACAAAAGAUAUAGUUAUAAUGAACAACGGCUCGCUGUUGUUCACCCGGGUCAACCAGAACCAUCAGGGCCGGUACACGUGCACGCCGUACAACGCCCAGGGUACGCAGGGAUCGUCGGGUCACAUGGAGGUUCUGGUGCGGAAACCGCCGGCCUUUACGAUCGAACCGGAUCCACUGUACCAGCGGAAAGUGGGCGAAGCGGUUGAGAUGCACUGCGAUGCCCAGGAGGCGGAAGGAACGUCCAAGCCGACCAUCACCUGGCAGCGACGGGACGGUCAACCGUUGCAGAAGAACCGGGUCCGGAUUCUAAACGGUAACAUCACGAUCGAGAACCUGCGUCGAUCGGACUUUGGUUACUACCAGUGCGUGGCCUCCAACGAGGUGGCCACGAUCGUGUCGGCGACGCAGCUCGUGAUCGAGGGCACCCAGCCACACGCCCCGUACAAUCUGAGCGGGACGGCCACCGAGUUUUCGGUGACGCUCUCGUGGAUGCCCGGCUACAGCGGAGGUCCGGACUACAAGCAGGACUAUACCAUCUGGUAUAGGGAGGCCGGCGUGUCGGACUGGUCAACGAUCCCGGUGACGCCGUCCGGCAGCACCCAGGUCACGAUCAACCGACUCUCGCCUGGGACGACGUACGAGUUCCAGGUGAUUGGGAAGAAUGCCCUCGGCGACGGCAUGAUGAGUAAGGUCAUCACGAUACGAACGUUAGAUGUCCAAAAACCGAAGAAAACAUCGACUACGACAGCUGCACCAAACGAAAAAGAGUUUAAGCACGCUUCCGAUGACUUGGGUCCCAAGCCGGGUCAGCCGCGGAACGUGUCGGUGCUGGAGAUUCCGAACGGCUUCCUAAUCUCGUGGCAGGUUCCGCUGGAGCGGGCCCACCUGGUGCAGUUCUACACGAUCAAGUACCGGACGGACGCCCAGUGGAAGACGCUCAACCGGGGCCAGAUCCGGCCGGAGGAGACGUCCUACCUGGUUAAGAACCUGGUCGGCGGCCGGACAUACUACUUCCGGGUGCUGGCCAACUCGCUCAAGAGCUACGAGACGAGCGAGGAGAUCAAGUUCCCGGUGCCGGCCCGGGUCAAGCACAAAGCCAUCACGGCCGGCGUGGUCGGCGGGAUUCUGUUCUUCAUCGUGGCCAUCAUCCUGUCGAUCUGCGCCGUCAAGAUCUGCAACAAGCGCAAGCGCAGAAAACAGGAAAAAGAAAUUAUUCGAUUACAGAACUCAACAUGGUAACAGCACGGAUCACGGACCGGAAUGCCCUAAGCCAGCCGGUGCCUUUGAGGAGUUAGAGCUGAAGAUAUCUACACGACGAAAGCAAGAGCAGCCGCUUGCCAGGCUUGAGCAUCCUGGUGGCCAUUUUGCACUGGAUUUGGCCACCCGGGCGGUGCCAGAACUGCGACAGCAUCUACUCGAACAAGUUCACCGGUGACCAGGAGAAG